CCUCGGGGAACACGCCGCAAAUCUCCACGUCCAGCCACAGGUAAAGGAAAAAUUACGGGGGCAAAUCCACAGUGUCUCUGACAGUACGUCGAUUUUUUUUUUAUAACAAGAAAGAAAUAGCUUGUCACUCUCUGCUCUUCCACUACAAAGGGGAAGGCUUUACAUGUGAUCUUUCUGCAAGAGAGCCUCUGGUUCGCAGCAGGCUGGAAAACCUGAAGUGGAGUCCUGUGAUUCAUGUUGGUGUCGGGCACAGCGCUCGUUUCAGCCUCUGACUCUGAAUGAGCAGCCUGAGCGCCUCUCCACCUCCACAAAGAGAACAACCCGGCCGCUGCUUGUUAUUAAAACUACACCAAAGCUGCCCCGUUUCCCUUCAGAGGAAACUACGGCAGUCCUUUUAAAUGCAUUCAGAGCUUGGGAUGAGCGUGCUCAGAGGAAAAAACUAGCUGGCAGCCCGGAGAGGGGAGGCAGGCUGACACAAAUUGUGUGGAGAAAGGUCUUGGACAUGGUGGAAGGAGACAAGCGAGAGGGAAAACCAGACAUGGAGCCUCUGUUUUCGGGGGGAGUUUAUUUUCCAUGCCGUGUACAGUACGUUAUGUAACCACAGAUUGUUUACAUACCCUGCUUCCGUGGGGAACAAAGGCCAAAUUUGCAGAAGUAACGCAGCCAGCUGCAAAACACUACUGUCUUUCAGGAGGGAAAAUUACAGAAGAGAAGCACCAGGAAAGAAUGACUGUACUAUUACGCACAACAAUUUUAAGAGCGUGAUUGUGAAGAUGAAAUAUGAAAGUAAAGGUCCAAAUUAAAGAAGACUAAACAAACAAACGGCCCUGAUGUGCUCUUUUAGCUGACGUCCGGACUUAAGUUUCCAUCCCAUCAGUGACAUGAGACAGCAGUUCAUUUGCAUUCAUCAGGCUGAAGGUGUAGCGGUUGAUUAGCCAGUAGAUGGAGCCGUCUCUAAGACAAGCGCCCCCCCUUCCCCUCCCUCUCCUCCCUGACACUCUCGCCCUGCCACAUGUGAAACUCAUCCCCAGCCACUCGAGGGGUUAAGGGCAGAUUACCAUUUGGACUGUCACUCAAACAUCCACGGCAACACGCAAAACCAGAGGAACGCCGCUGCGGAGAUUCGGAGGAUCAACAACGGAGGGCUUGUUUGACAGGCGAUGACAAAACUAGGUCUGUAGGCUUUGUGUUCUACCACUGGGGGGCCGCCGCCCUCUCCUCUCCUCUCCUCUCCCUCAUCUUCCUCGUUCCCCCUCCCGACUACAUAGCUGUCGUCGACGGCCUGCUCGGGCCAUCCAUCAGCCGGAGACGCAGCCGGAGAUAAGCCGCGGCGCAGUGCAUCUGGCUGAGGAAUAGACCUCCUGCCCUGCAGCAGUCAUAGAUCAGCCUCUCUGUCUCAGACAUGGCGACACACAGCACGACCACUGCUGCUGCUGCUGCUGCUUCUGAUCGUAUAUAUGGCACCUCCUGUUGGCCGAUGCGUUAUUAGCACUACUUAUUUACAAUCGGGCACGACAGCAGCCUCAGGUGAGGGGACACUCUGCAGUCUCAAGUUUGUGCUAUCAUCAUUCGGUGACCUUCACAGAGUCUGAGGAUGCAAAGGAAUCAAUUUGUAGACACUGGCCUUUCUUUGACCGCUACUGACACGCAGCUCGUCUAAAUAAAUAACUUUUAUAAUUUC